rnacentral:rRNA from 1 species
UACAGAGGUCUCAAGCGUUGUUCGGAUUUAUUGGGCGUAAAGGGCGCGUAGGCGGCGGGGUAAGUCGGGUGUGAAAUCUCAGGGCUCAACCCUGAAACUGCACUUGAUACUGCUCUGCUUGAGGACUGGAGAGGAGACUGGAAUUCACGGUGUAGCAGUGAAAUGCGUAGAUAUCGUAAGGAAGACCAGUGGCGAAGGCGGGUCUCUGGACAGUUCCUGACGCUGAGGCACGAAGGUCAGGGGAGCAAACGGG